CCCCAUCCCUAUCCCCAGUCUCGCUCUCCCUCGGCUCGGCCUUCCGAAGCUUUUGUGUAAACAUAGUCCUCCUCCCACUGGAAACUCUAGCCCUAGCUACAGGUUACUUGGCUGAGUCCUGAUCUUAAAGAGACCUGAGCCCUUUAAUCACCCAGAGGCAAAGACUUACAGUACUCCCUUCGGGCGGCUAACUGGGUGGGAAUUUGCAAGCUUUGUUUUCCCCUCCCCCAACGUCCCCAGUUGCAGGCAGAGGUGAUUUUGAAGUCUCUCUCCCCAUGUUUCUUUACUUUCCCCUCCUCCUUAUUCUUCACAGAGGGAUUUCUUUUUCUACUUCUCUCCCUCGAUUGCAAGACUCGAGAAGUCUUUUCUACCUUGGGAGAACCAAGGUACAAUUGAUGACAUUUCCAGGCGGUCUGCCAUUUUAGAAGACACUUUCAACAUUCUGCAGAUCUCACCAGGAAGAAGGCUGCUUGGAGUAAUAUGGGACCAUUGCACCCCAGGUGGGACUUGAACCAGGAGAGAUCACGAACUGGAAUGAGCCUGGAUUCUUUGCUGAACCUUCAACCCAACUGGAGAAUUAAUUUUAUUGCUGAACUGUGACAUGAAUCCAAGUUUAAAAGGGAAAGAAAGCACCCAAUGAACCAAUUAAAAGCAGAGCUGAACCUACGGAAUUUCUAGAUAAGUCAUGAAGCUGUCCUUGGACUACUCCCAAAGCUAUCUGAUCAUUUGCUCAGGUGUAUUGCCCAUAAGAAUGCCCAAACUACCAAAGGAGUGUGCUGAUGGGGCCGGAUAGAUUUCUAGGUGGUUGUGAGAAAUAGCACGAAUGAGGAGCAAAAGAGUAUUGUGACCCUGGGCAACUGACUUCAAUCUCUCAGUUCCAGUGCAACAUGGUGCAAUAAUUUUGAAGUCAAAGAUUGUGGAGUCAAAAAGCACAGCUCUGUCACCUACUACCUGGUCAUCUUGGACACAGCUCAGCUUCCUCAUCUGUAAAAGGGGAGCGACAGUAAUACUGCCUACCAUCCAGUUUUGUAAAGAUCAAAUGAGAUGAUAUUUGUAAAGCUCUUAGCAUAGUGUCUGGCACAUUGUAGGCCCUUGAA